GACGUAGGGCGCGAGCGUUGUCCGGAUUUAUUGGGCGUAAAGAGCUCGUAGGCGGCUUGUCGCGUCGUCCGUGAAAACCUGGGGCUCAACCCCAGGCUUGCGGUCGAUACGGGCAGGCUCGAGUUCGGUAGGGGAGACUGGAAUUCCUGGUGUAGCGGUGAAAUGCGCAGAUAUCAGGAGGAACACCGGUGGCGAAGGCGGGUCUCUGGGCCGAAAUUGACGCUGAGGAGCGAAAGCGUGGGGAGCAAACAGG
rnacentral:rRNA from 1 species